rnacentral:rRNA from 1 species
GACGAACGCUGGCGGCGUGCUUAACACAUGCAAGUCGAACGGAAAGGCCCUGCUUUUGUGGGGUGCUCGAGUGGCGAACGGGUGAGUAACACGUGAGUAACCUGCCCUUGACUUUGGGAUAACUUCAGGAAACUGGGGCUAAUACCGGAUAGGAGCUCCUGCUGCAUGGUGGGGGUUGGAAAUUUUCGGCGGUUGGGGAUGGACUCGCGGCUUAUCAGCUUGUUGGUGGGGUAGUGGCUUACCAAGGCUUUGACGGGUAGCCGGCCUGUGAGGGUGACCGGCCACAAGGGGACUGAGAUACGGCCCAGACUGCUACGGGAGGCAGCAGUGGGGAAUAUGGCACAAUGAGAGGAAGCCUGAGGCAGCAACGCCGCGUGCGGGAUGCCGGCCUUCGGGUUGUAAACCGCUUUAGCCUGUGACGAAGCGUGAGUGACGGUAAUGGGUAAAGAAGCACCGGCUAACUACGUG